UAGGGAAUCUUCGGCAAUGGACGAAAGUCUGACCGAGCAACGCCGCGUGAGUGAAGAAGGUUUUCGGAUCGUAAAACUCUGUUGUUAGAGAAGAACAAGGACGUUAGUAACUGAACGUCCCCUGACGGUAUCUAACCAGAAAGCCACGGCUAACUACGUGCCAGCAGCCGCGGUAAUACGUAGGUGGCAAGCGUUGUCCGGAUUUAUUGGGCGUAAAGCGAGCGCAGGCGGUUUCUUAAGUCUGAUGUGAAAGCCCCCGGCUCAACCGGGGAGGGUCAUUGGAAACUGGGAGGCGUGAGUGCAGAAGAGGAGAGUGGAAUUCCAUGUGUAGCGGUGAAAUGCGUAGAUAUAUGGAGGAACACCAGUGGCGAAGGCGGCUCUCUGGUCUGUAACUGACGCUGAGGCUCGAAAGCGUGGGGAGCAAACAGG
rnacentral:rRNA from 1 species